AACAGGAUUAGAUACCCUGGUAGUCCACGCCGUAAACGAUGUCGACUUGGAGGUUGUGCCCUUGAGGCGUGGCUUCCGGAGCUAACGCGUUAAGUCGACCGCCUGGGGAGUACGGCCGCAAGGUUAAAACUCAAAUGAAUUGACGGGGGCCCGCACAAGCGGUGGAGCAUGUGGUUUAAUUCGAUGCAACGCGAAGAACCUUACCUACUCUUGACAUCCAGAGAACUUAGCAGAGAUGCUUUGGUGCCUUCGGGAACUCUGAGACAGGUGCUGCAUGGCUGUCGUCAGCUCGUGUUGUGAAAUGUUGGGUUAAGUCCCGCAACGAGCGCAACCCUUAUCCUUUGUUGCCAGCGGUUAGGCCGGGAACUCAAAGGAGACUGCCAGUGAUAAACUGGAGGAAGGUGGGGAUGACGUCAAGUCAUCAUGGCCCUUACGAGUAGGGCUACACACGUGCUACAAUGGCGCAUACAAAGAGAAGCGACCUCGCGAGAGCAAGCGGACCUCAUAAAGUGCGUCGUAGUCCGGAUUGGAGUCUGCAACUCGACUCCAUGAAGUCGGAAUCGCUAGUAAUCGUGGAUCAGAAUGCCACGGUGAAUACGUUCCCGGGCCUUGUACACACCGCCCGUCGCACCAUGGGAGUGGGUUGCAAAAGAAGUAGGUAGCUUAACCUUCGGGAGGGCGCUUACCACUUUGUGAUUCAUGACUGGGGUGAAGUCGUAACAAGGUAACC
rnacentral:rRNA from 1 species